rnacentral:rRNA from 1 species
CGUAGGCGGGUCUUUAAGUCAGGGGUGAAAUCCUGGAGCUCAACUCCAGAACUGCCUUUGAUACUGAAGAUCUUGAGUUCGGGAGAGGUGAGUGGAACUGCGAGUGUAGAGGUGAAAUUCGUAGAUAUUCGCAAGAACACCAGUGGCGAAGGCGGCUCACUGGCCCGAUACUGACGCUGAGGCACGAAAGCGUGGGGGAGCAAACA